rnacentral:tRNA from 1 species
GGCUCGGUCGUCUAAUGGCAGGACACCGGACUGUCUAUCCGAGAGUGGGGGUUCGAUUCCCCUCCGAGCCGCCA